UUUUUUUAAUUCUGCUUGCUGAGAAACGACGCCGCUUUGCCAUCGCCAACAUUUGUUGACCUCCGCCGUUGAUUAGUCUGCCGCCCCGCCGCCGCUCCACCCGAGGCACCUGUACCACGGCACCGCUUUUUUCCUCCAAUAUUUCAGAUUUGCAAAUUGCGCCGUAAAAGGGGCUUCAAGACUGUGUUUAUUAGAGGAGGGUCUGGUGGUUCUGUUAAUUCCGGGCCUAGCGCAAAUAUUCAUGGCUCCGGCGGUGGUGGAGUGAAAAACCACCGUCGAUAUGACUACGGCAAUGAAGCUGCAUCGCACCUCGACCUGGAGACCGACGAC